UUGAGCUAAAAAAAAAGGAUCUGUUCUAUAGGCUCGUACCUCUGUAUCCUUGAUUUCUAAGGAGACAGGAAACCAUGUCUGGUGGAUGAACCAUGGCUGCCUGGCUUGAGCGUGACUAACAGCCCCUCGGGUUGGGUUUCCAACUCGUGAUGCAGUAGAUGAUCUUUCUUCUUGAUUGACUUUGGUGGAGUCAGGAUGGCUAGGUAGCUGUCUGACAGACU